rnacentral:lncRNA from 1 species
GUUUUCAUCAACAUCAAGUGGAGAAGCAGUAGAGAGAAAUCCAUUCCUAUGAAAACAUCCCCUGCUGCAUCCGGGACAUCCCUGUUCAUCCUCAUCUUUAUAUACCAACAUAUUGGCCAAAACAAACAACAGAUCUAUCCUGCGAAGAAGACAGGAGGAAAAUCCUUCAUGUUGCAGAUGAAGAAAGCGCGAUGGUAGCUUGCAACACAGGAAGGUGUGAAGACUACUGGAAAUGAUAAAUAUGGAGAGGCCACCAAACUCCAAGUGAUUAUGCAGAUGGAAUCAACAACAAAUGUGUCAGACUGCUUUUAUCAGGAUCCACUAGAUCAACCUUGUGAAGGGAGUUUAUAACUGCUAAACUGCAACAUGACUUCUAGCCAAGGCCCAUUAGUUUAGCUCUCUGGAGAAGGCCCCUGACUGUGGUCUCC